UCGAGAAUCAUUCGCAAUGGGCGAAAGCCUGACGAUGCGACGUCGCGUGAUGGACGAAGUGCUUCGGCACGUAAACAUCUUUUAUGUGGGAUGAAAUUAUUGACAGUACCACAUGAAUAAGGGGCUCCUAACUCUGUGCCAGCAGGAGCGGUAAUACAGAGGCCCCAAGCGUUAUCCGGAAUCACUGGGCGUAAAGGGUGUCGAGGCGGUUGUAUUAGUCGUUCAUAAAUCUACGAGCUUAACUUGUAGGCGGCGAACGAAACGGUACGACUUGAGGUUUGGAGAGGUGCGUGGAACUCACGGUGUAGGGGUGAAAUCCGUUGAUAUCGUGGGGAACACCAAAGGCGAAGGCAGCGCACUGGCCAAAAUCUGACGCUCACACACGAAAGCUAGGGUAGCGAAGAGGAUUAGAUACCCCAGUAGUCCCUGAGCGGGCUGGCAAGGCGCAU
rnacentral:rRNA from 1 species